rnacentral:rRNA from 1 species
AGGAGGGGUGGCGCGGCGGCGGGCCGGAAGAGGAGCUCGCGCGACGGCGGGCCGGGAGAGGGGUAGCGGCCGUCGCAGAGGUAAGACGGGGCCGGCGGAGAGAGGGAGGCUGGGGAUAUCGCGCGCGCGCGCUGCGUCGAAGCGCUUAGGUCGGGUGAAGGGGAGUUUGGUGGGUGAAGGGCAGGGUAGAGGAGGAUGUCGCUCGGUGGUGGCGUACGGGACGGUGGCAGGUGGCGGUGGGGAGCGGGGCGACAGCGCAGGGCGGUAGGGGGCGGGGUACCCCUUGGCGGCGGUGCUGGAGGCGCGCUGCCAAAGGCCGCCUCUCAAGGAUACGUACGACGACACCCCAUGCUCCGCCUCCCGCCUCGCCGCUGUGUGCGCGAUCCCUACGUCUCCUAUCCGUGCUGCCACUGCGUUCCACCACCAGUACCGCCACUACGCGGACACGCAGCGGUUAGGGGACGACUGGCGGCAAGCUUCGACGGGAGGUGCGGCGGCUGAGUAGGGGCCGUGCCGGGGGGACGAAGGAGUCAGGCGAUGACUGAGCAGCCGGCAAGAAGAAGCGGUUGUGGACUUCCAGGACAAAGAAGUAGAGUAGGGGCGUAGAGGUAAAUAAAAACGACGAGCGAACCGUCAAGUAUCGGUUUUUUUUAACUUGCCCCAGAGAUUUAUAAAAGAACUAUAUACAGAUUUGUCCUGGUUAAAACGGUACAAAAGACGAACAUACACACACCAACUUGAUAAAUCGAAAACUCACUUCAAGUUUGAAGGAUACACACUUCCAGCUUAGUUUAAGUCAAAACAUGUAUACUCCAACUCGGUCAAAAAAUCCGAUGACUUUGGUUAGUAAACUAUCCCUUAAGUUUUCUUGUCAUAUAUACUCGUAUGCACUUCAAGUUCAAGAACCAAGUCCUUUCAUCUGUAGGAUAAAAUGUGAGAAGAUAUAAAAGCCAGUGUUUUUGUAAUCCUUCUUUUACGACUUAGCUCUUCAAGUGUGUGAUGACAGAGUUUGCAAGCCUGCAAGAAAAGGCAUGCGUUUUUAGCUUAUAUCCAAUUAAGGGGUACUUUAAGCGAAACAACGAAAAGAAGGAGCGGGUGGAUACAAUACGUUUUUUAUCAAGUUAAAACGAUUAAGCAGGUCAAAACUAAUCUAUUUAAAACAUCAAGUAAAACGACUAAGGAUGACUUAUAUCAAAGAAAACCAAACAACGUCGUCUAGUUCGAUUUAAGCUCUCUUUUUUUAGUCAAGUGGAAACACACAAAAAAGUCUAGUAGAAUGUACAGUUCGUGGUUUGGCUGUGGUGCCGAAGACGAUGACCACGAUCACACCUACAAAUCGUUCAAGUUGAUGGUCACAUGCGGCUCAAGUCCAUGUAACAGCACCUGCCGGUUCAAGUCCCUACGGAGACACGGAUUCCACGCUCUACCGCCGGCGGCUGCAGCGAUUUAGGGAGAUGUUUGGCUACCAACCGACGAGGGUCGACAUUUUUCAUCACCAAUUAGAACGAUUAAUGAAACUACACUAUGGAUCCACAAGUCAGGUCGAGGACGUUGGUCGUGUCCAGCAACGGGAAAAACGGUGUUGCCGUCGUCGUGUUUGUGCUCGCACCAGCAGGAGUUGGUCAAGGAGUGCGUCGGAGACGCGUUCGGGACGAGUACAGCGCGGGAGGAGGGCGUAUCGGAUAACCAACCGCAUGGCACUGGGGAGGAGUAUAAAAACCAUACUUAAACUACUUAGAAGAACUACGAGACAAGAAUAAGUAGAUCUGCAAGGAGGAGUAUAACUAACAAACAUAACGAACAUGGCCAAAGCAAGAACGUACAUACAUAGUCAAGUUACAAAACUCUAUCGAGUCUAAUGAAGGUUGACACUUCUAACUGUACGUAUAAACCCCUACUCUAAAAGUCCAUGAUCAAACCGUGACAUAGAUUGGGCAUGAUUUUAUAAAGUCGUCAAGUUGUCCCCGCGCCCCAAGUCAAGCUGCCACUGCUCGGUCCGUCGGCCGGAAGCGUAUUGCUUGACCACGUGAAGCUAGAACACGCUUAACCUUUAGGGGACUACGACUCACACAGUCAUGUUGGGAUGCGAAAUUCCGUGUGCACGUAGGUGAAGUGCACAAUCAGUUAUCAUAACACGUAAACGAACCAUGGAAGCGAUGAGAUCAAUGUAUAGUGAACGCUUUAGUUUAUUUUAAACAACAAGUGAAAAGACACAAAACAACUUAUUAAGAGUACGACAGAAGAUCCCGUAAUACGAAAAUUACAAGUUUUAGGACUCCUUUUACUAUGUAAAAUCAAACGAAACGGCGUUCCCGUAACGACUUUGAAUUUAAGACAGAGUUGAUAUCGGUAGGUAAAACUUUAUCUACAAUGAAAUGAAGCCCACCAAAGACUUAGUGUAAAGUGAUUUUUUACAUUAUCACUUUAAUAUGACUUAUUGAUUUAAUUUAACGUCACUGUUUUUGUGGUUGUCAGGUUCGUCCCAGUCACUACAUCCAAGUGUCUUUUUUUAAUAAUACAUUUGAAGGGAGAGGACUACGCAUAUUUGUUUUAUUUUCAAAGGUUCUCCAGUAUUAGUGACGAAUGUACUGCAACCUUCCGUCCUUUCUUUUCGACGAGAAUUUACACUGUACAUCAAAUGACACGUUUUAUUUAUAAACACAAGUGUCACCAGAGUUAAGUCAAAGAAUCAAGGCAAGUUAAAGAUUAAAAACAAGUCGAGUUAAAAGGAUAAAAUCAAGUAAAAUUAAGAAUAAAAAACAAGUCAGGUCAAAGAACAAAAUCAAGGCAAGUUAAAGAUUAAGAUCAGGUCAAGUUAAAGAUUUAAAUCGAAUCAGGUUUAGAAUAAGAUCUAAGUAAAGUAAAGUUAAGAAUAAAAUCAGAUAUAUAGAAGAACACGAAGGUAUGUUAGAUAAAAGAGCUACAUGGAUACUACAGGUCAAAGAAAAAAGUCAAGUCAUGUUAAAAAUUUAAAGUAAGUCAAGUUAAGAGUAAAAAAGGUCAAAGGACUCAAGUUCCUUAAACUGUCAGAAAUCACACAUAUACGUUCAAGGUCAAAAGGGCAUCUACUUUUAAUGGGAACUUACGUUACAAAGUAUAAACACGUGAAAUGAAAGACCAUCGCACCACGGACCACUCCAACGGAAGGAACGGACCAUAAGUUGUCACAUGGUUUACUAAUGUCUUUUGUGAGCAACCACCCAAAAUGACGCAAGUAACCUUACGUUUUGAUUUGGAUUAAAGGGUAACUUUUACUGUCAACCCGUCCUCGUUUUAGUGUGAUUGUUCGCGUUUCCACUUACCAGUCAUCACCACAAACUCAACUCUUUAAGUGACGUAGAACAGUAUCAUAACGACUGAGUUCCUAUCGUAACGACCAACUGUAUAUGGUCGAGUGGAAAAAAUGAUUACCGUUCAUAGUCCAAGAAAACCUUCAAAAGAAAUACAAUCCUUCAAACUGCUGAUCAGGUGUAUGUAUUUUCCUCAAAGACGUCAGAGUCACGAAGGCAUAAAAUAGGUGAAAGAACCGUAGAAUACAUUAAAACCAGCCCCGUGGUCUUUUCCAUUCCCCGACUUAGUCCUGUAUAUAAAAUGAAAGUGCAAACGUGAUGGUUAAACUAAGGAUGACAGAUGACUAUACGGUAAAAUAUCUAAUAAUAUUUUUUAGAAGUCAUCAUGCUCAUUCAACAGUGUUCUCAUCGUUUCCUUUAUUAAAUAAUACAACUAUCGUAUAAUCGUAAAUGAAAAAACGGGGGGAACGUACUUACUGCCGGCAGUGAAAACCAGUCACUCAUCGUAACGUCCCGAUAUAUAUAUUAGUCUGUCAAUUACUCGCAUAGUCAGUAGAACAUCGCCGUUAGAAUGUUACACCCACGUCCUCACCUUCGGCCACUGCCCUUACGACCGGAAGCUGGAGUAGAGACGACACUACUGCCGCGACCACUUCUUCCGAGACCUCGUUCCCGACUUGGCGGACCAGGAGCAGUGGGAGGCCGUCGACCAGCGGUGGUAGAAGAGACGAGGUUAUCGGAAAAAGUUUCUUGCCUCGUGCUCCGGGUUCGAGUGUAACCUCCAGGACCGCAUGGAGAAGAAGUCGUGGCACAAACCGCGCCGCGAGAGCGUCAUGUGGAAGAUACCGGCCGUCAUGUGGUGGCGGUGGAAGUGGUAUUGGAAGUAGUUGGAGAGAGGACACGAGUGGAAGGAGUAGCGGCAGCACUACUCCUACCUUGGCGACUUCCACUUGUCGUACCGCCCUCGGCGUUUCUAGUGGUCUUGCGAGUGCAGCGACCGGCCGAACGACGGCGACUCAGAGAUGUUCCCACACGGUGACUGCGUGGUCCGGCGAUGACGUGGAUCGGGUCCGACGGGUCGACGAGUGGUACGUAGUGGGAGGCUGUCGUCACCGUUGUCCUCGACCUACGACCCGUGGUACCGAAACGACAAGUUGACGGGCACGAAGAGGAAGACCGACGACAACGUCUGUUUCGACUGGUUCAUGGACUGGUAGAUGAGGUCAUGACGGUAGUACAAGAAGUCAUAUACAGUAGCUGUAAGGUGUCUUGUUUACAGUUGAUCCUACGCACCCAUACAUAGUUUAUACCGUCCUAAACAAGGAGUGCGGCCUCAUGUGGUUACGUUACCACACCUCCGGCAUGUGUAAAGAAUAAAGAUAACGAUGUUCAAGCUCACUAUUUAAUGACAUUCGAGUGUACAAUAACAGGUUAAUCAAGUUUA